GACGAACGCUGGCGGCGUGCUUAACACAUGCAAGUCGAACGGCAAGGCCCUGCUUUUGUGGGGUGCUCGAGUGGCGAACGGGUGAGUAACACGUGAGUAACCUGCCCUUGACUUUGGGAUAACUUCAGGAAACUGGGGCUAAUACCGGAUAGGAGCUCCUGCUGCAUGGUGGGGGUUGGAAAGUUUCGGCGGUUGGGGAUGGACUCGCGGCUUAUCAGCUUGUUGGUGGGGUAGUGGCUUACCAAGGCUUUGACGGGUAGCCGGCCUGAGAGGGUGACCGGCCACAUUGGGACUGAGAUACGGACCAGACUCCUACGGGAGGCAGCAGUGGGGAAUAUUGCACAGUGGGCGGAAGCCGGAUGCAGCAACGCCGCGUGCGGGAUGACGGCCUUCGGGUUGUAAACCGCUUUCGCCUGUGACGAAGCGUGAGUGACGGUAAUGGGUAAAGAAGCACCGGCUAACUACGUG
rnacentral:rRNA from 1 species